rnacentral:rRNA from 1 species
AGUGAACGCUGGCGGUAGGCCUAACACAUGCAAGUCGAACGGCAGCACAGUAAGAGCUUGCUCUUACGGGUGGCGAGUGGCGGACGGGUGAGGAAUACAUCGGGAUCUACUUUUUCGUGGGGGAUAACGUAGGGAAACUUACGCUAAUACCGCAUACGACCUACGGGUGAAAGCAGGGGAUCUUCGGACCUUGCGCGAUUGAAUGAGCCGAUGUCGGAUUAGUUAGUUGGCGGGGUAAAGGCCCACCAAGGCGACGAUCCGUAGCUGGUCUGAGAGGAUGAUCAGCCACACUGGAACUGAGACACGGUCCAGACUCCUACGGGAGGCAGCAGUGGGGAAUAUUGGACAAUGGGCGCAAGCCUGAUCCAGCCAUACCGCGUGGGUGAAGAAGGCCUUCGGGUUGUAAAGCCCUUUUGUUGGGAAAGAAAAGCAGCAGGUUAAUACCCCGCUGUUCUGACGGUACCCAAAGAAUAAGCACCGGCUAACUUCGUG